CUUCUCCGGGCUCCGCAGUGCCAGUAACAAGGUCCUCCACCUGCCCUGACUGCUGCAAACCGCUACAGCGCUACAGCAUAAACGGCGGCGCUCAAAGGUGGGGGCUCUGCCGGUUCCGAAGGAUCGCGUCUCAGAAGGUGAUAAUUUGAAAAAUCAGGUGACAUUGAAGUGGGUCGAGGCUUCAAGGUGCCUUCAGAGCUCUGCUAGCGGUGGCUUGGAGCUCUGGGAAGCGGCUCUGCAGACGCUUUGGGCUUGAGAGCUCAGAUUGAGCGACGCGCAGCUGCGGGCCAUUCGCUCCUAGCUUCGCGGACGAGCCGGGUCUCCGAGUGUGCCGCGGGACGUGGUCAGAGUCCAAGAGUCACUGCCCGAACCUGGUGGCUGAAACCCAACCGGAAGCCUCGGAGCCUCCGCCUCCCUCCAGGACCGCUGGGGUCUCCGGUGGGCAUGAAUCAGGUUGUAAGUGGUCGCUGCACAGUCCCAGGAUCAUCGCUGCCCCUUCUCCCGCUCCUCCCCGCCGCACCAUCUUUUUCUUUCAGACCGUGCUUUACAGCCCUUAAUGUGCAUAAAAUAAACUGUGUCCCACG
rnacentral:lncRNA from 1 species